rnacentral:rRNA from 1 species
CGGAGGGUGCAAGCGUUAUCCGGAUUCACUGGGUUUAAAGGGUGCGUAGGUGGGUUGGUAAGUCAGUGGUGAAAUCCCCGAGCUUAACUUGGGAACUGCCAUUGAUACUAUCAGUCUUGAAUAUUGUGGAGGUUAGCGGAAUAUGUCAUGUAGCGGUGAAAUGCUUAGAUAUGACAUAGAACACCAAUUGCGAAGGCAGCUGGCUACGCAUAUAUUGACACUGAGGCACGAAAGCGUGGGGAUCAAACAGGAUUAGAUACCCUGGUAGUCCACGCCCUAAACUAUGGAUACUCGACAUCAGCGAUACACUGUUGGUGUCUGAGCGAAAGCAUUAAGUAUCCCACCUGGGAAGUACGAUCGCAAGAUUG